GCGGGCGUAGCUCAGUUGGUUAGAGCGCGUGGUUGUGGUCCAUGAGGUCGUCGGUUCGAUUCCGAUCGCUCGCCCCA
rnacentral:tRNA from 2 species